AGCUUGUUAUUACUCAAAUCGAACUCGAAAAGUUUAGGGUGCGUUUUGGUUGAUAUUUCAGGUACGGGGCUAGUGAAGUUGUUGGAGUUGAGAUGGAUGACGACUAAAGUCUUGAUUUUUUCAAUGAAGUUAUUCAAGGCCAGUUGAUUGCCGUUUAAGUGGAAACCAUUGAAGUCGAUGGCAACAACGUGGUUUUUGUAGCAAGUGUAACCUUUGUAACAGCAAACAUCGUUGCCUACCCAUGUUCUUGUUACGCCAAAGGGGUCGCUAGUUAUUGUCUUUUUGAAUUUUUGAAUGACUUUUAUGACUUCUCUUAGUUCUGCGGUAAGAUAACCUGGGGUGGUUGGUGGGGGUGGUGAGUGUUUGGGAUGAGGAGGAGGAGGAGGAGGAGGAUGAACUUUAGGUGGUGGUGGUGGAGGUGGUGGUGAGGGUGAGGGUGGUGGUGGAGGUGGUGGUGAGGGCGGUGGGGAUGGAGGCAUGGGAGGGGGACAUGGUGGCUCUGCAGGAGGCGGCGGCGGAGGAGGAAGAGGACAUAGCGGUUCGGGAGGAGGUGAAUACCAAUCAUCUCCAUUAGAAGGAGGAUAGGCAG
rnacentral:lncRNA from 1 species